AGGAGGUUAAAAUGUAACAUUGUUUGCAGUUUGGCGUUUCCUUUCCUAAUGGAGAGCAGCAGAGCCCAGUUGUUGGAAACUCAGGCACUGCUGUCACUAGCUCUAAUCAACAGCGUGGAAACAUUGGAUUGAUUUAUUUGAAAGUAGUUCAGCUGAGUUUCCACCUCCGGCUUUGUGAAAAAAAGUUUUGUCACCUCCCCUCGCUAUAAGAUAAAAGUAUCCAAAGUUAAAGGAUGUUUCAGUGGUGAAGUGAGAUACAUAGCUUCUAUGGGAUUUGGAUGUUACAGAAUGUUACAUUUUUGCUGAGGAUGAAGCUCCAAUGGUUUGUGUGUAUUGGGGAAAUAACUGUGUGGUCGGUAUGAGGAUGAGGGGACCCAGGCUAGUGCUGUUUCUGCCCCUGGCACUACUGAUCCUGCAGGGCCGGGGCUUUGAGCUGCAGGACACCAUCCAUGCUCUCAUCGAGGAGAACAUCCAUCUCCACGACCAGCUGGAGAACCUCACUCAGGCCCUCAGAGAGCUCAAACAGCUGCUGUGGCACCAUUCCAACGACCCUAACCAUGAGCAUGACGUGGAUAUUCAGCAUCUCUGGGAUGAAUGGUCAGAACAUGGCAUCAGUGCAGAGACCCAUCUCCUGUUGGAGCAUGCUCUGUGUGGACAUGACGCCCAUGGCUCAGCCAGUCCUCUCCAUGUGCACCCCCCCCUCUUUUUGAUAACGCUCCCCUGUAUCACUGUCCUCCUGCUGGGAGCAUUUUAG
rnacentral:lncRNA from 1 species